rnacentral:tRNA from 1 species
GGGGUUGUAGCUCAGUGGUAGAGUGCUUGCCUGGCAAGCACUGAGUCACUAGGUUCGAUCCUUAGCACCA